GUGCCAGCCGCCGCGGUAAUACGGAGGGUGCAAGCGUUAUCCGGAUUCACUGGGUUUAAAGGGUGCGUAGGUGGAUUGGUAAGUCAGUGGUGAAAGGUUCGAGCUUAACUCGGAAAUUGCCAUUGACACUGCUAAUCUUGAAUACAGUUGAGGUGGGCGGAAUGAGUCAUGUAGCGGUGAAAUGCAUAGAUAUGACUCAGAACACCGAUUGCGAAGGCAGCUUGCUAAACUGUUAUUGACACUGAGGCACGAAAGCGUGGGGAUCAAACAGGAUUAGAUACCCCUGUAGUCC
rnacentral:rRNA from 1 species